ACACGACUACAUUAGAUACCCGUGUAGUCCUAGCCGUAAACGAUACUCGCUAGGUGUCGGCCACGGUGCGACCGUUGUCGGUGCCGUAGGGAAGCCGUGAAGCGAGCCACCUGGGAAGUACGGCCGCAAGGCUGAAACUUAAAGGAAUUGGCGGGGGAGCACCACAACGGGUGGAGCUUGCGGUUUAAUUGGAUUCAACGCCGGACAACUCACCAGGAGCGACGGUUACAUGAAGGCCAGGCUGAUGACCUUGCCUGAUUUUCCG
rnacentral:rRNA from 1 species